rnacentral:rRNA from 1 species
GAUGAACGCUAGCUACAGGCUUAACACAUGCAAGUCGAGGGACCGGCGCACGGGUGAGUAACACGUAUCCAACCUGCCCUUUACUCGGGGAUAGCCUUUCGAAAGAAAGAUUAAUACCCGAUGUAAAGGAUGGGGAUGCGUUCCAUUAGGUUGUUGGUGAGGUAACGGCUCACCAAGCCUUCGAUGGAUAGGGGUUCUGAGAGGAAGGUCCCUCACAUGGGAACUGGGACCCGGUCCAAACUCCUACGGGAGGCAACAGUACGGGAGAUUGGUCAAUGGGCUUUAGCCUGAACCGGCCAAGUGUCGUGAAGGGUGAUGGCUUUUGGAUCAUAAUCUUCUUUUUUAUAAGAAUAUGUAUUUUAUGAAUAAGCAUCGGCUAACUCCGUGCCAGCCGCCGCGGUAAUUC